UCGCCAUUUAAGGUGCUGGGGUGGAGACGUGCGUUCUCUUUGACCAUGGACGCCGCCAAAAUCAAAAGCCUGCAUCAUACUGACAGCUACUUUCUACAAUCUGAUGGCCUUUUAAGUAAGAGAGGUGGCCCCUGCUUUGAAACCUGUGGAGGUGGGUGAGGCUUGGCGCUGACCCACGAUGCACCAGAACAUCCUGGAGGCCUGUUCCUUUGUGACGGGACACCUGUUAUUGCUGCAUCCUUCAUCAAACCCUGCAUUGACAACGCAACCAAACAGGACACUGGAUGUAAGAUGGGGGCCAAGCCAGAAGACGUGCGUGUGAGUGCGAACGAGCUGAAGAAAACACGGAAAUGAGGUGGAAAAGCAGAAAGAACAGAAGAGCAGUUUGGAUGAAUGAUGUAAAACAAACAAGCUAUUGGUAGAAAACAGCCGCCGGGCUGCACCUUGGACGCCCUUGUGCUAAAAUCGAGGCCAGUACAAGUUCUUAUUGGUUUUAUUCAUGUAAAAAUGUAACUCAUGAAUACAUGACCUGUUCAUCCAAACACUUUACUGCUUUUUUCAGUGAUUCUCUUUUUGGACAAAGUCAAAUAUAUUAG